AAAGUCGUAACAAGGUCUCCGUUGGUGAACCAGCGGAGGGAUCAUUACCGAGUUUACAACUCCCAAACCCCUGUGAACAUACCUAUCGUUGCCUCGGCGGUGCCCGCUCCGGCGGCCCGCCAGAGGACCCCCAAACUCUCUCAUAACCUGUCGUCUGAGUGUAUCGCACAAUAGCUAAAACUUUCAACAACGGAUCUCUUGGUUCUG
rnacentral:misc_RNA from 1 species